AUUGAACGCUGGCGGCAGGCUUAACACAUGCAAGUCGAACGAGCGGCGGACGGGUGAGUAAUGCAUGGGAAACUGGCUGAUGGAGGGGGAUAACUACGGGAAACGGUAGCUAAUACCGCAUACCAUCAGAUGUGCCCAAGGGGGAUUGGGUAGUAGGUGGGGUAAAGGCUCACCAAGGCGACGUGCCCUAGCUGGUCUGAGAGGAUGACCAGCCACACUGGCACUGAGACACGGUCCAGACUCCUAAGGUAGGCAGCAGUGGGGAAUAUGUCGUAAUGUGGGCAAGCCGGAUGCAGCCAUGCCGCUGGAGUGAAGAAGGCCUUCGGGUUGUAAAGUACUUUCAGCGAGGAGGCGUUACUCGCAGAAGAAGCACCGGCUAACUCCGUGCCAGCAGCCGCGGUAAUAC
rnacentral:rRNA from 1 species